AUUGAACGCUGGCGGCAGGCCUAACACAUGCAAGUCGAGCGAGCGGCGGACGGGUGAGUAAUGUCUGGGGAACUGCCUGAUAGAGGGGGAUAACUACUGGAAACGGUGGCUAAUACAGCAUACUAUCGGAUGAAUCCAGAUGGGAUUAGCUAGUAGUGGGGGUAAAGGCUCACCUAGGCGACGACCCCUAGCUGGUCUGAGAGGAUGACCAGCCAGACUGGGACUGCGACGCGGGCCAGACUCCGACGGUAGGCAGCAGUGGGGAAUAUUGCACAAUGGGCGCAAGCCUGAUGCAGCCAUGCCGAGUGUAUGAAGAAGGCCUUAGGGUUGUAAAGUACUUUCAGCGGGGAGGCGUUACCCGCAGAAGAAGCACCGGCUAACUCCGUGCCAGCAGCCGCGGUAAUUC
rnacentral:rRNA from 1 species